GACGAACGCUGGCGGCGUGCUUAACACAUGCAAGUCGAACGGUAAGGCCCUUCGGGGUACACGAGUGGCGAACGGGGGAGUAACACGUGGGUGAACUGCCCUGCACUUCGGGAUAAGCCUGGGAAACUGGGCCUAAUACCGGAUAGGACCACUGCCUGCAUGGGUGGUGGGGGAAAGCUCUUGCGGUGUGGGAUGGGCCCGCGGGCUAUCAGCUUGUUGGUGGGGUGAUGGCCUACCAAGGCGACGACGGGUAGCCGGCCUGAGAGGGUGACCGGCCACACUGGGACUGAGAUACGGCCCAGACUCCUACGGGAGGCAGCAGUGGGGAAUAUUGCACAAUGGGCGCAAGCCUGAUGCAGCGACGCCGCGUGAGGGAUGACGGCCUUCGGGUUGUAAACCUCUUUCAGCACCGACGAAGCGCAAGUGACGGUAGGUGCAGAAGAAGGACCGGCCAACUACGUGCCAGCCGCCGCGGUAA
rnacentral:rRNA from 1 species